UACGUAGGUCCCGAGCGUUGUCCGGAUUUAUUGGGCGUAAAGCGAGCGCAGGUGGUUUAUUAAGUCUGGUGUAAAAGGCAGUGGCUCAACCAUUGUAUGCAUUGGAAACUGGUAGACUUGAGUCCAGGAGAGGAGAGUGGAAUUCCAUGUGUAGCGGGGAAAUGCGUAGAUAUAUGGAGGAACACCGGUGGCGAAAGCGGCUCUCUGGCCUGUAACUGACACUGAGGCUCGAAAGCGUGGGGAGCAAACAGG
rnacentral:rRNA from 1 species